UACGAAGGGAGCUAGCGUUGUUCGGAAUUACUGGGCGUAAAGGGCGCGUAGGCGGGUUUCCAAGUCGGGGGUGAAAUUCCAGGGCUCAACCCUGGGACGGCCUUCGAUACUGGGAGCCUGGAGAUCGGGAGAGGUGAGUGGAAUUCCGAGUGUAGAGGUGAAAUUCGUAGAUAUUCGGAGAAACACCAGAAGCGAAGGCGGCUCACUGGCCCGAGACUGACGCUGAGGCGCGAAAGCGUGGGGAGCAAACAGG
rnacentral:rRNA from 1 species